rnacentral:rRNA from 1 species
GACGAACGCUGGCGGCGUGCUUAACACAUGCAAGUCGAACGGAAAGGCCCUGCUUUUGUGGGGUGCUCGAGUGGCGAACGGGUGAGUAACACGUGAGUAACCUGCCCUUGACUUUGGGAUAACUUCAGGAAACUGGGGCUAAUACCGGAUAGGAGCUCCUGCUGCAUGGUGGGGGUUGGAAAGUUUCGGCGGUUGGGGAUGGACUCGCGGCUUAUCAGCUUGUUGGUGGGGUAGUGGCUUACCAAGGCUUUGACGGGUAGCCGGCCUGGGAGGGUGACCGGCCACAUUGGGACUGAGAUACGGCCCAGACUCCUACGGGAGGCAGCAGUGGGGAAUAUUGCACAAUGGGCGGAAGCCUGAUGCAGCAACGCCGCGUGCGGGAUGACGGCCUUCGGGUUGUAAACCGCUUUCGCCUGUGACGAAGAGUGAGUGACGGUAAUGGGUAAAGAAGCACCGGCUAACUACGUG